GAUGAACGCUGGCGGCGUGCCUAAUACAUGCAAGUCGAGCGAACAGACGAGGAGCUUGCUCCUCUGACGUUAGCGGCGGACGGGUGAGUAACACGUGGAUAACCUACCUAUAAGACUGGGAUAACUUCGGGAAACCGGAGCUAAUACCGGAUAAUAUAUUGAACCGCAUGGUUCAAUAGUGAAAGACGGUUUUGCUGUCACUUAUAGAUGGAUCCGCGCCGCAUUAGCUAGUUGGUAAGGUAACGGCUUACCGAGGCGACGAUGCGUAGCCGACCUGAGAGGGUGAUCGGCCACACUGGAACUGAGACACGGUCCAGACUCCUACGGGAGGCAGCAGUAGGGAAUCUUCCGCAAUGGGCGAAAGCCUGACGGAGCAACGCCGCGUGAGUGAUGAAGGUCUUCGGAUCGUAAAACUCUGUUAUUAGGGAAGAACAAAUGUGUAAGUAACUAUGCACGUCUUGACGGUACCUAAUCAGAAAGCCACGGCUAACUACGU
rnacentral:rRNA from 1 species